GUUGAUGUCUAUCCUGAUGUAGCUUUUUCUGUAGACUUAUAUCAAUGGAAACCUCACUGAAUAUAUAUGUGGUUUCCUUUACUCAGAGAACUAUGUGUUAGAUCUGUGGGGAAGAACUAUAUGAAGGGU